rnacentral:rRNA from 1 species
GACGAACCGUGCGAACGUUGUUCGGAAUUACUGGGCGUAAAGGGCGCGUAGGCGGCCUACUAAGUCAGACGUGAAAUCCCCCGGCUUAACCGGGGAACUGCGUCUGAUACUGGAUGGCUUGAGAUUGGGAGAGGGAUGCGGAAUUCCAGGUGUAGCGGUGAAAUGCGUAGAUAUCUGCAGGAACACCCGUGGCGAAAGCGGCGCGCUGGACCACUACUGACGCUGAGGAACGAAAGCUAGGGGAGCAAACAGG